GCGGCUUGCAGGGCGGGAGAGUGGGUGACAGAAAGCCACUGUGUGUAACCCGAACAUAGGGAUCAGUGUACAAUGCCAGGUGCAUGCAUCAUGCCAGCUGGUGUAAUGGCAAAACUGAAUUGGCUUCAAAGGGGUUCAUUCAAUUAAAGGAACACCCCAACCACCAGCACCACUACAGCUCGCUGCCAAGAUUGCUCAGGCACCUUCCUACUGAAAUGUGUCUGACCCCUUACCUGGCUCACAGCGGCCAUACCCUGACUUAUCUUGGAAGAGGACCCGCUCAGUGGCUCAGAGAGUGCUCAGGUGAUGCGUUCAGGCAAUGAGUGCAGCUGCUUGGCUCAGG